AUGCACAGACGGGGUGCAGGGGGAGAGAGAAGGGAGUUAGUACAGCUCAGUGCAAAGGGGGCCAGGUGGUGGGGGCCAGGGGGGUCUUCCCAAGGGACACCUGGGUGGCAGGGGAGGGGUCUGAAGCUAAACGCACAGGCCACAGUACCCCCAGCCCCCCCAAUCCUUGACCUAUCCUGUCCCCCCCGGCUAUCAGCGCUCUGGGGUCACCCCAACCGGGGGGGGGGGGCUGCCAGGUCUAUCCCUAGGGCACUGUGGCGCUGGCCCAGCAUCCUGUGGCAGGGAGUUCCCCAGGCUGCCCACUGUCCCUCCGCGGGGGGGGGGGGAGGGCUGCCAGGCCUGUGUGCCGUGGCGCCGCCCAGCGUCCUGUGGCAGGGAGUUCCCCAGGCUGCCCACUGUCCCUCCGCGGGGGGGGGAGCUACCAGGCCUGUGCGCUGUGGCGCCCGCCCAGCGUCCUGUGGCAGGGAGUUCCCCAGGCUGCCCACUGUCCCUCUGCGGGGGGGGGGGCUACCAGGCCUCUGCGCUGUGGUGCCCACCCAGCGUCCUGUGGGAGGGAGUUCCCCAGGCCACCCACUGUCCCUCCACGGGGGGAGGGGGCUUCCAGGCCUGUGCGCUGUGGCGCCCGCCCAGCGUCCUGUGGCAGGGAGUUCCCCAGGCCGCCCGCUGUCCCUCCGCAGGGGGGGAGGGCUGCCAGGCCUGUGCGCUGUGGCGCCCGCCCAGCGUCCUGUGGCAGGGAGUUCCCCAGGCCGUCCGCUGUCCCUCCGCGGGGGGGGAGGGCUGCCAGGCCUGUGCGCCGUGGCGCCGCCCAGCAUCCUGUGGCAGGGAGUUCCCCAGGCCGCCCGCUGUCCCUCCGCGGGGGGGGAGGGCUGCCAGGCCUGUGUGCCGUGGCGCCACCCAGCGUCCUGUGGCAGGGAGUUCCCCAGGCCGCCCGCUGUCCCUCCGCGGGGGGGAGGGGAGGGCUGCCAGGCCUGUGCGCCGUGGCGCCACCCAGCGUCCUGUGGCAGGGAGUUCCCCAGGCCGCCCACUGUCCCUCCGCGGGGGGGGGGGAGGGCUGCCAGGCCUGUGCGCCGUGGCGCCACCCAGCGUCCUGUGGCAGGGAGUUCCCCAGGCCGCCCGCUGUCCCUCCGCGGGGGGGGGAGGGGUGCCAGGCCUGUGUGCCGUGGCGCCGCCCAGCGUCCUGUGGCAGGGAGUUCCCCAGGCCGCCCGCUGUCCCUCCGCGGGGGGGGGAGGGCUGCCAGGCCUGUGCGCCGUGGCGCCGCCCAGCGUCCUGUGGCAGGGAGUUCCCCAGGCCACCCGCUGUCCCUCCGCGGGGAUGGGCGUGGCUGUCCGUGCCCCCGGCUCGGGUGGGAUGGGGAGGUCGCGACCCUGGCACUGGCCCCGCCCCACUCGCCAAGCCCCGCCCACGGGCAGAGCGGGGGUUGGGGGGGACUCACUGAGGUCAGGGUCCGGCGCUCGGCUCCCGGCACCUGGGGGAGAACGACGGGGCAGGUUAGAGCUGGGGGGGAGCCCGGACGCCUGGGUUCUCUCCCCGACUCAGAGGUGUGUGUGGGGGGGGUCACUCUUGCUCACCCCAGAGGAUGCUGGGAACUGGGCCCAGGGGUUGGCGUCUCUCUGGCGCCCUCUGCGGGGUUGGGCGAGAUCACCCUUUUCAUCCCCCCCACCCCGCAGGCAAAGGGGAACUGCAGCCAAUCAGAAUCGGCCGCUUCGUUGUGUCCCGCCCACUCGGGGAAACCGGCCCAAUCAGCAACAGCCGAUAUGACGAACCCAAUAGAAAGAGACUCACCAGAUUGGCCCCGCCCCAAUCUUUGA
rnacentral:lncRNA from 1 species